GUUGAUUAUUUUUGUGAAUGUUCUUAAGAAACAUUUUUAACAUUUCUUUUUUUUCCACCAAAAAAUGUUCAAAGAUUUCCCAAAAAUGUUGAAAAUGUGGACAUCAGAAGUUUCACUGUGAAAAUAUGUUUUUUUUCACAUUUUCGAACUUUAAAACGGGUCAAUUUUGACCCGCAGGACGACACGAAGGUUAAAUGUAGGAAGCUGAAAUCAUGAUUAACAUUCGAUUCAUUGUGGAGACGUAGUUGCUUCAAAUGACUUAUUUUGUCGAAUCAACAGUGCAACAAACGUCUAAUAUUAGAUUUUUUUCGUUUUUGUUAAAUAUAAUCAACCAAUUAUGAAAAUAACUGCAGAUUGUCUUUUGAGAUGAACUAGUUGAUGAAAUAUGACAAUAAUCCAUAAAACUAUGAUCACAUGCAGGAUUCUCCAUUGUGCACACUAAUGCUGCGGUUAAAAUCAAGUAUAGAAGCGCUCUGAACGUUUUCUGAGUGAUUCUGUGUAUGAACUUCUUAAAUCUGGAUUAAACCCUCGCUGCUCCGUCAGGCCUCGCGGCUUGUUGAAGUGCUUUACUUCACCUCCGUCACUUUGUGUUCGACACUCCUUUGGUUUACGCACACUAUCGUUGUGACAUUCACCUCCAUCUCAUCCCUACACAACCACCCACCGACCCACACUACUGACGACCAACACGUCCUACUUACCCACCAGCAAAGGAAGCAGUCCUUAAAGAUGUGGACCAAGCUGCCACUCUGUUUCCACAGUGUUGUUAAAGCAGAAAACUCACCGGAGACGACGAGGAACCUGCAGAAUAGUAAACAGGACAUUAAAAUGUUGCUUUUUUUCUUUCUUUCUAACAAACUGUAAAGCAAAACUUUAUCUGAGACAGUGAAAGGCAACAAGACUCCAACUGGAAACUUGAUUUAAUUGGAGAAGAUAAAUUUCUCUCCUUUUUUGCGUCUUUUCUGGUGAGUUUAUCUGCACUGCUCCAGUAUGUAUUGCACCGAUUACUCCAUUAAUGAGGGUUUGUUGUUUUAUAUCCACCAACCACAAGUCAGUGUCUAAGCUGAUUAUCCAGGAGGUAUUGGUGUUGUUUUGGGACGUUGUGUUCAUCAAAUCACUCAAACAAGCAGUUUAGAUUCAGUGGAGUUGUUUUUUUGAAGGUAAACAUGUGAAGUCCUGUCCACAUGUACACAGGUAAUAUUUGAAAUAUAGAUUAUUUUCAGUUUUUGGGCUUUUGUUCACAUACAAACAUUUUUAGGUCACCAUAAACCAUUGGAAAGGGUGAAGAAGUUUAGGAUGGAGUUAGGAUGUGCUGGUGCUAGCGUUGCUAACAGGACUUUUUGUUUACAUCGACGUGUGCAGUUACUCUACAUCAGAAUCAGUCUACGCUUUUAAUUCCCCUCUUCCUUGAUGCAGCAUUAGGCGUCUUUCCACUGCAGGAACUUGGAGCAGGUGCCAAAUGGCGCAAAAAUGGCACCAUAAUCGACCCUUUUAGCCAGUAAAUUUCCAUCGCGAUGUAUGAUCUGAAAGCUUCACCUGCAAUGUCAACUCUGACAGUGAAAAACAGCAGCUACUGGAUGCCAGCAUAUAUAGCAUCUACACUACUGUUUAAAAGUUUGGUUUCACUUAGAAAUAUCCUUAUUUUGAAAGAAAAGCAUUUUUUUUCAAUGAAGAUAACAUUAAAUGCAUGAUAAAUCCAGUGUAGACAUUGUUAAUGUGGUAAAUGACUAUUCUAGCUGCAAACAACUGAUUUUUAAUGGAAUAUCUCUAUAGAGGUACAGAGGAACAUUUCCAGCAACCAUCACUCCUGUGUUCUAAUGCUGCAUUGUGUUAGCUUUUUAGAUUGUUUUUUUUUUUUUAGAUUUUCACUUUAAGCCCUGCAAGUGUGGCUGCAGUAACAAGCUUGCUGUGCCCGACUAACAAUACGUCUGUGGUUUGGAAUUAUUUCCAAGUACACAGAUGUCGGUAUCGGUUGAUUUCAGAAUCGGAAAUUGAGACUUGGACAAUAUCGGCAUAUCGGUUUUUGGCAAAAAAGCCAAUAUCGGCCAGCCCUAGUUAAAUGGUUCAGUAAAAUUGAGUUAAUGCUGGUUAGUUACUUCAGAUCUACAAGAUUAAGGAGUCUUUGCUUCAAGGUCCAAAUAUCUACAAGGCAAAUGUGUCACAUGGUGAUAUACACUACUGUUCAAAAGUUCAGGGUCACUUACAAAUGUCCUUAUUUUUGAAAGAAAAGCAUUUUUUUCAAUGACGAUAACAUUAAAUGAAUGAUAAAUCCAGUGUAGACAUUGUUAAUGUGGUAAAUGACUAUUCUAGCUGGAAACAGCUGAUUUUUAAUGGAAUAUCUACAUAGAGGUACAGAGGAACAUUUCCAGCAACCAUCACUCCUGUGUUCUAAUGCUACAUUGUGUUAGCUAAUGGUGUUGAAAGGCUCAUUGAUGAUUAGAAAACCCUUGUGCAGUUAUGUUAGCACAUGGAUGAAAGUGGGAGUUUUCAUGGAAAACAUGGAAUUGUCUGGAUGAGCCCAAACUUUUGAAUGGUAGCGUUCAGCAAACUGUACAUCUCUGAUGCUAAUAUUAGAGAUGAGAAGGCUGCUACCAAGCAAGAACAUCGAAAGGAUGCAAAAACAGGGCUUAUUUUCUUCUACAAGUUUAACCAAUCAGUGUUUAGAUUCACACAGGUCUAGUCUGAAGUAUGUACCACCAGAGUUGGAGCUUGUUUUCUCCCCAAAAUUGGCCUUUAAUAAAGUUCUAGGGGGGCAGUUCUUGCACAAAGGUUUGCAAGUUCCUUCAGUGGAAACCAUCACCUACCAGAACCAGUAGAACUUUAUUUCCAGGCUUCUGAUUGGUUUAACGGGUUCAAUCACCACCUGUUGGUUUGGCUCUCAACAAGUGGACAGAGCUGUUUCUUUCUCUUUUUGGAGAACAUAUGAGGAAGAACCUUGUUUUAAAGAACACCCGUGUACAUGUGGACUAAUGUUCUCGUUUAUUUGGGAAGCUAACUGAGGAAGUUUGGUGAAUAAAACUUGAACAAAGUGUUUAUUUAGCACUCCACUGGAAAUUAAGUCAACUUAAUCUGUCAUGUCCUUGUCUCUACUAAAGAAUGUCAGCAAAAAGUUACAAAAAGCACUUAAAACUGUGUCAUCAGCAUAAAAAUUUGUUAAACACCUCCAGUGAAUCUGACACAUGACUGUUUGGUUUUUAAUGAAUCACAGCAGCCAAGUUUUCUUUUUUUAAAAUGAGCACUUUGUGAACAUGAGCCCUUUUUUUGUUUUUUAUUUUAACAGGUACACUAAUUUGACUGCAGUGUCGCUCAGUAAUGAAGACAAACAGGCUCGUUAAUUAACUACUAAAGGUGAUUCCACAUCACGUGGAUACAACGACAGUUUGCAGGGAAAAGUUUCCACAUUAACGAACAGAUUUUCACACAUCGAUUCAUUAUUUUUUAGCCUCUGGAACAGAAAUUUAGUGUGUUCUUUUAUGGACUUUAGUUUGAGAAUUUUAGACGAAAACACUGAUCUUCAACAUACCUGUGAGUUUGAUAUCAUCUCAACCCUUUAAGAGCUGCAUCUAUUCCAUUUUGACAUGGAAAAUAUUCAAAAAAAAAUUGAAAAUAACAUUUGAUUUGGACCAAAAUCAGGCUUUAAAAGUGUCUUUUGGACUAAAUUAAACAUGUUUUAUUUGAAGUUUUUCAAUUUGUCUGGAUGUUGCUGGCGAAAGUGCAGUUUAAUAUGAAACCAGCUGAAAAAUAAUAUUUUACAUUCAAUAAAUAAUUUACCAGAAAAUGUCAAAUUAAAUAUGGAACAGUACAAAUUUUCUGUGUUUUGUAAUCAC
ensembl:lncRNA